rnacentral:rRNA from 1 species
UACGUAGGGCGCAAGCGUUAUCCGGAAUUAUUGGGCGUAAAGAGCUCGUAGGCGGUUUGUCGCGUCUGCCGUGAAAGUCCGGGGCUCAACUCCGGAUCUGCGGUGGGUACGGGCAGGCUAGAGUUCGGUAGGGGAGACUGGAAUUCCUGGUGUAGCGGUGAAAUGCGCAGAUAUCGGGAGGAACACCAAUGGCGAAGGCAGCUCGCUGGGACGUUACUGACGCUGAGACGCGAAAGCGUGGGGAGCAAACAGG